AUUGAACGCUGGCGGCGUGCCUAACACAUGCAAGUCGAGCGGUAACGCGGGAGCAAUCCUGGCGACGAGCGGCGAACGGGUGAGUAAUGCUUCGGAAUCUGCCCAAUGGUGGGGAAUAACCAGCCGAAAGGUUGGCUAAUACCGCAUACGUCCUACGGGAGAAAGCAGGGGAUCGCAAGACCUUGCGCCGAUGGAUGAGCCGAAGUCGGAUUAGCUAGAUGGUAGGGUAACGGCCUACCAAGGCGACGAUCCGUAGCUGGUCUGAGAGGACGACCAGCCACACUGGGACUGAGACACGGCCCAGACUCCUACGGGAGGCAGCAGUGGGGAAUAUUGGACAAUGGGGGCAACCCUGAUCCAGCGACGCCGCGUGUGUGAAGAAGGCCUGCGGGUUGUAAAGCACUUUUAGUGGGGAUGAAAAGCUCAGGGCUAAUACCUCUGAGUCUUGACCUAACCCAAAGAAAAAGCACCGGCUAACUCUGUGCCAGCAGCCGCCGCAGUA
rnacentral:rRNA from 1 species